rnacentral:misc_RNA from 1 species
GAUGAAGAACGCAGCGAAAUGCGAUACUUGGUGUGAAUUGCAGAAUCCCGUGAACCAUCGAGUCUUUGAACGCAAGUUGCGCCUCAAGCCAUUAGGUUGAGGGCACGUCUGCCUGGGUGUCACAUAUCGUUGCCUGAUGCCAGUUUCCUCGUGAUGGGUGACUGUGCAGGGCGAAUGAUGGCUUCCCGUGAGCAUUGUUGCCUCAUGGUUGGUUGAAAAUUGAGUCCUUGGUAGGGAGCGCCGUGAUAGAUGGUGGUUGAGUGACGAACGAGACCCAAUCAUGUGAGACCCCUACCGAAUUUGGCCUUCAUGACCCACAUGCGUCUUUGGAACGCUCAUGACGAGACCUCAGGUCAGGCGGGGCUACCCGCUGAGUUUAAGCAUAUCAAUAAGCGGAGGA